rnacentral:misc_RNA from 1 species
AAUUGGUUUGAUCAGAUACUUGUUUCAAGCUUUCUGAAAUGUAACUCCCAAGUUUUCCUCUUCUACAAGAGCUGUUUUGCCAUGUCGGUCCAGUUCACCAGCAAGGUGCCUCCAAGCUUCUGCUACUGGGUAAAGGUUGAUUCCAACUGUAGAAUGCUAUAAAAUAGGGUAAAACUGAAAGAGAAUAGUGUCGGAGCAAUUGAAUUUUGCUAUGAAGUUAUCAAUUUGGCGAGUCCACUGACUCGCUCUCUGCAAUUGGG